rnacentral:rRNA from 1 species
CCUACGGGUGGCUGCAGUGGGGAAUAUGGGACAAUGGGGGCAACCCUGAUCCAGCCAUGCCGCGUGUGUGAAGAAGGCCCUCGGGUUGUAAAGCACUUUCAGUGAGGAAGAACGCCUGGUGGUUAAUACCCAUCAGGAAAGACAUCACUCACAGAAGAAGCACCGGCUAACUCCGUGCCAGCAGCCGCGGUAAUACGGAGGGUGCGAGCGUUAAUCGGAAUUACUGGGCGUAAAGCGCGCGUAGGUGGCUUGAUAAGCCGGUUGUGAAAGCCCCGGGCUCAACCUGGGAACGGCAUCCGGAACUGUCAAGCUAGAGUGCAGGAGAGGAAGGUAGAAUUCCCGGUGUAGCGGUGAAAUGCGUAGAGAUCGGGAGGAAUACCAGUGGCGAAGGCGGCCUUCUGGACUGACACUGACACUGAGGUGCGAAAGCGUGGGUAGCAAACAGGAUUAGAUACCCUUGUAGUC